GCUUCACAGGGUCAGACCCAGCAGGAGGCCGGCUAGCUGCCAGGGUGUCCAGACAUUUGGUCCAACAUUAUUCCGGAUGCUUCCAUGAAGAUGUUUCUGGAUGAGAUUAACAUCUGAUUCCACAGCCCUCUGGAACACAGUAAGCCCUCAAGAAAUAUUUGCCAAUAAAGAACAACGUGUCUCUUCUUCUCAAAACACUUCUACGACGUUGCCUGUUGUGUCCAGUAGUGGUUUUGUUGCCUGCGGAGCCAGAAGAGGGUGGACUCUGGAACCGAGGAGACUUGAACUCAAGCUUCAACUGUGUGAUAUCUGAAAAUCAAUGUGAUCUCUGCAGGUCACAAAUUGCUUAAUGUGUAAUAUAGAGAAAAAAAUAAAAUCAAUAAUAUUUAUAAAAGUGAGUUUCAAGGGGCACCUGGGUGGCUCAGUUGGUUAAGCCUCUGCCUUCGGCUCUGGUCAUGAUCCCAGAGUCGCAGGACCAAGUCCUGAGCCCUGCAACAGUGGGCUGCUCAGUGGGGAGUCUGCUUCUCCCUCUCCUUCUACAGCAUCCCCCACUUGUGCUCUCUAGCUCUCUCUCUGUCAAACAAAAAAUAAGACCUUUUUUAAAAAAAGUGGACAUCAAAAAUGUGUUUGAAAAGCUGUUUGUAUAAUAGCUUUUAGAAUUUUAGGAAGCCACACAAAGUUAAUAUAAUAUCUACUAAUCUCUCUCUUUUUUUAAAGAUUUUGUUUAUUUAUUUGACAGACAGAGAUCACAAGUAGACAGAGAGGCAGGCAGA